AUAACGUCCGGAAACGGGCGCUAAUACCGCAUACGUCCUGAGGGAGAAAGUGGGGGAUCUUCGGACCUCACGCUAUCAGAUGAGCCUAGGUCGGAUUAGCUAGUUGGUGGGGUAAAGGCCUACCAAGGCGACGAUCCGUAACUGGUCUGAGAGGAUGAUCAGUCACACUGGAACUGAGACACGGUCCAGACUCCUACGGGAGGCAGCAGUGGGGAAUAUUGGACAAUGGGCGAAAGCCUGAUCCAGCCAUGCCGCGUGUGUGAAGAAGGUCUUCGGAUUGUAAAGCACUUUAAGUUGGGAGGAAGGGCAGUAAGUUAAUACCUUGCUGUUUUGACGUUACCAACAGAAUAAGCACCGGCUAACUUCGUGCCAGCAGCCGCGGUAAUACGAAGGGUGCAAGCGUUAAUCGGAAUUACUGGGCGUAAAGCGCGCGUAGGUGGUUCAGCAAGUUGGAUGUGAAAUCCCCGGGCUCAACCUGGGAACUGCAUCCAAAACUACUGAGCUAGAGUACGGUAGAGGGUGGUGGAAUUUCCUGUGUAGCGGUGAAAUGCGUAGAUAUAGGAAGGAACACCAGUGGCGAAGGCGACCACCUGGACUGAUACUGACACUGAGGUGCGAAAGCGUGGGGGAGCAAACAGGAUUAGAUACCCUGGUAGUCCACGCCCGUAAACGAUGUCGACUAGCCGUUGGGAUCCUUGAGAUCUUAGUGGCGCAGCUAACGCGAUAAGUCGACCGCCUGGGGAGUAC
rnacentral:rRNA from 1 species